GGACCCACACAAGCAGUGGAUCACGUGGUUUAAUUCGACAAUAAACGGGGAAUCUUACCCAGACUUGACAUCCUGAGAAUCUCUUAGAGAUAAGAGAGUGCCUUUAUUGGAACUCAGUGACAGGUGCUGCAUGGUUGUCGUCAGCUCGUGCCUUGAGGUGUUCGGUUAAGUCCGUUAACGAGCGCAACCCAUGUUCUUAGUUAUUAUGUCUAAGAAGACUGCCUUGGUUAACAAGGAGGAAGGUGUGGAUGACGUCAAAUCAGCAUGGCUCUUACGUCUGGGGCUACACACAUGAUACAAUGGUGUAUACAAAGAGCUGCAAAAUGGUAACAUUGAGCUAAUCUUAAAAUACAUCUAAGUCCGGAUUGAGGUCUGAAACUCGACCUCAUGAAGUUGGAAUUGCUAGUAAUCG
rnacentral:rRNA from 1 species